UUUAUUCUCUCAUUUUGCCUGCUACCUGUACCUGCUACACUCUAUUGAGCCCAUCUUCUAAAUCUGCCUUUUUUUCACCUAUAACUGGGCAACACACGCUUUCCAG